UUAAUUUGAGAGUUUGAUCCUGGCUCAGGACGAACGCUGGCGGCGUGCCUAAUACAUGCAAGUCGAACGAACUCUGGUAUUGAUUGGUGCUUGCAUCAUGAUUUACAUUUGAGUGAGUGGCGAACUGGUGAGUAACACGUGGGAAACCUGCCCAGAAGCGGGGGAUAACACCUGGAAACAGAUGCUAAUACCGCAUAACAACUUGGACCGCAUGGUCCGAGUUUGAAAGAUGGCUUCGGCUAUCACUUUUGGAUGGUCCCGCGGCGUAUUAGCUAGAUGGUGGGGUAACGGCUCACCAUGGCAAUGAUACGUAGCCGACCUGAGAGGGUAAUCGGCCACAUUGGGACUGAGACACGGCCCAAACUCCUACGGGAGGCAGCAGUAGGGAAUCUUCCACAAUGGACGAAAGUCUGAUGGAGCAACGCCGCGUGAGUGAAGAAGGGUUUCGGCUCGUAAAACUCUGUUGUUAAAGAAGAACAUAUCUGAGAGUAACUGUUCAGGUAUUGACGGUAUUUAACCAGAAAGCCACGGCUAACUACGUGCCAGCAGCCGCGGUAAUACGUAGGUGGCAAGCGUUGUCCGGAUUUAUUGGGCGUAAAGCGAGCGCAGGCGGUUUUUUAAGUCUGAUGUGAAAGCCUUCGGCUCAACCGAAGAAGUGCAUCGGAAACUGGGAAACUUGAGUGCAGAAGAGGACAGUGGAACUCCAUGUGUAGCGGUGAAAUGCGUAGAUAUAUGGAAGAACACCAGUGGCGAAGGCGGCUGUCUGGUCUGUAACUGACGCUGAGGCUCGAAAGUAUGGGUAGCAAACAGGAUUAGAUACCCUGGUAGUCCAUACCGUAAACGAUGAAUGCUAAGUGUUGGAGGGUUUCCGCCCUUCAGUGCUGCAGCUAACGCAUUAAGCAUUCCGCCUGGGGAGUACGGCCGCAAGGCUGAAACUCAAAGGAAUUGACGGGGGCCCGCACAAGCGGUGGAGCAUGUGGUUUAAUUCGAAGCUACGCGAAGAACCUUACCAGGUCUUGACAUACUAUGCAAAUCUAAGAGAUUAGACGUUCCCUUCGGGGACAUGGAUACAGGUGGUGCAUGGUUGUCGUCAGCUCGUGUCGUGAGAUGUUGGGUUAAGUCCCGCAACGAGCGCAACCCUUAUUAUCAGUUGCCAGCAUUAAGUUGGGCACUCUGGUGAGACUGCCGGUGACAAACCGGAGGAAGGUGGGGAUGACGUCAAAUCAUCAUGCCCCUUAUGACCUGGGCUACACACGUGCUACAAUGGAUGGUACAACGAGUUGCGAACUCGCGAGAGUAAGCUAAUCUCUUAAAGCCAUUCUCAGUUCGGAUUGUAGGCUGCAACUCGCCUACAUGAAGUCGGAAUCGCUAGUAAUCGCGGAUCAGCAUGCCGCGGUGAAUACGUUCCCGGGCCUUGUACACACCGCCCGUCACACCAUGAGAGUUUGUAACACCCAAAGUCGGUGGGGUAACCUUUUGGGAACCAGCCGCCUAAGGUGGGACAGAUGAUUAGGGUGAAGUCGUAACAAGGUAGCCGUAGGAGAACCUGCGGCUGGAUCACCUCCUUUCUAAGGAA
rnacentral:rRNA from 1 species